CACUUCUCUCAAGGGAUGCUGGUUCUCUUAAUGUUCUGUUUCAUGUUGUGGGUGUUAGUUACAAAGGUGAGCACAGUUUGUGAAAUUCAUUGACCU